rnacentral:misc_RNA from 1 species
AAAGUCGUAACAAGGUAACCGUAGGUGAACCUGCGGUUGGAUCAUUAGAAAAAGGCCAUCAAGGGUCUCAACACAAGGGAUGACUGUGGGUAGGUGAAUUGAGGGUCUAACUUGCUAUUUUGCGGGGCUGGCGAUUGAUUCACUUAUGGGCCACUGUAAAUUCUGUGGUUGCUUGAUUCCUUGAUGGAUGGAUGCAUUCCAUAACCCAAACUGUGAACUGUUGACGUCUCUGGCGGUUGAAGGGGUUACUUUGUCUCCCCUUUUAGUUCAUUUGCUUCCAUUUUUGUGGGUCGAUGAACGAAGCCGUCAACCCGAUUGCACAACUCUGUACAAUAUGCCCUGUUGGGCUUUUCACUGACAUUUUACUUAGUAUUGUAUAUGUGAAUUACAAAACAACUUUUGGCAACGGAUCUCUUGGCUCUC